CGACCCCUCAAGCCCGCGCGCGCUUGGUGCUGGGGACCCUACGUGCGCCGUAGGCCCCGAAUUACAGUGGCGGGCCCGCCGCGGUCCCGAGCGUAGUAGUGCUACACCGCUCAGGGUACCCCGCGGCGGGCGCCUGCCGUGAAAGGAAAAGAAGGAUGGAGAGAGAAG
rnacentral:misc_RNA from 1 species